rnacentral:rRNA from 1 species
GCUUACGGCCACACCGCCUGGUUCACGUCCCGAUCUCGGAAGCUAAGAUAGGUUGGGCCUGGUUAGUACUUUGGAUGGGAGACCGCCUGGGAAUACCAGGUGCUGUAAGCU